CCCUAUCCAAAGGUGGUAACGAUGAGGAUACAUCUUGUAUAGUUGCGUAUUAUCACCAGCAGCUUGUCCCUUCCAUUGAACUAUAUAAUAAUAUAGUUAUUAUAUUAUAGUUCAAUGGUCUCUCCGCCGUCGAAAUCGCCACGGUUCUAAAAUACCAUGACGAAUGAAAUUUUUUCAUUGAUUAUGAAUAUCCAAUUUUCUUUUGCGAUCGUGUUGACUAGGCAGUAGGCACGUUCAAAUGACACUUUUUGUCGUUUUCGUUUACAGCUAUUGUUAUCAGUACCACACACUCAACUCUAAAUAUUGUGAUCACUUGAUUUCAUAACUGUUCGUCUGUAUGGCUAUAAACAUAUUAUUUUGUUGAUUAAGAUUGACGUUUGACGCUUUUGAAUGAUACUUAUAGUUUUUCCAGACACGAAAGCCGGUAGCUGCUAUGAAGUAUGGCUAUUAGCUAUAGAUCGGUAUCCAACGGUGUCGACAAAAUUCAAAUAAAAAUCAAAGACUAUAACAAUGCCAAACAAGGUGGAAGCCCUGCUAUUUUUAUAUCAAUGAUAAUGCUAUUUUUUUCAAUAAUAAGAUCAACUGCUUAAUUAAAGCCAUCGCCACGACAUGUGAACUGGUAACUGACAAAGUUAUGAACGAUGCAGACAAAUUAAGAAUAAAAAGGACAAAUUUCAAUACUAGCUACAGGUCCACCACUGGUCCAAUAUAUAUU